ACACGGAACUAUAUUCUCAGAAGGCGAAGCACUGCUACUUGGGCGGAGUGAUUAGCGCAACACCUGAAAAGACCCGUUGUUACUCUCUGCUCCUCACCAGUGGGCUGCUGGGAGCAAAUCACUCCGCCCAAGAAGCAGACGUAGCAGUG